UACAGAGGGGGCAAGCGUUGCUCGGAAUUACUGGGCGUAAAGGGCGCGUAGGCGGGAUGGCAAGUCGGUCGUGAAAUCCCUCGGCUCAACCGAGGAACGUCGAUCGAUACUGCUGUUCUUGAGGAUUGCAGAGGAGACUGGAAUUCCCGGUGUAGCGGUGAAAUGUGUAGAGAUCGGGAGGAACACCGGUGGCGAAGGCGGGUCUCUGGGCAAUUCCUGACGCCGAGGCGCGAAAGCGUGGGGAGCAAACGGG
rnacentral:rRNA from 1 species